rnacentral:rRNA from 1 species
UACGGAGGGUGCGAGUGUUGUCCGGAAUCACUGGGCGUAAAGGGCGCGUAGGCGGCCUGAUAAGUAGGGGGUGAAAUCCUGCGGCUUAACCGCAGGGCUGCCUUCUAAACUGUCAGGCUCGAGCACAGUAGAGGCAGGUGGAAUUCCCGGUGUAGCGGUGGAAUGCGUAGAGAUCGGGAAGAACAUCAGUGGCGAAGGCGGCCUGCUGGGCUGUUGCUGACGCUGAGGCGCGACAGCGUGGGGAGCAAACGGG